UACGUAGGUGGCAAGCGUUGUCCGGAAUUAUUGGGCGUAAAGCGCGCGCAGGUGGUCCUUUAAGUCUGAUGUGAAAGCCCACGGCUCAACCGUGGAGGGUCAUUGGAGACUGGGGGACUUGAGUGCAGAAGAGGAUAGUGGAAUUCCAAGUGUAGCGGUGAAAUGCGUAGAGAUUUGGAGGAACACCAGUGGCGAAGGCGACUAUCUGGUCUGUAACUGACACUGAGGCGCGAAAGCGUGGGGAGCAAACAGG
rnacentral:rRNA from 1 species